rnacentral:rRNA from 1 species
UACAGAGGUCUCAAGCGUUGUUCGGAUUCAUUGGGCGUAAAGGGUGUGUAGGUGGCGCCGUAAGUCGGGUGUGAAAUUUCGGAGCUUAACUCCGAAACUGCAUUCGAUACUGCCGUGCUUGAGGACUGGAGAGGAGACUGGAAUUUACGGUGUAGCGGUGAAAUGCGUAGAUAUCUGUAGGAACACCCGUGGCGAAGGCGGCUCGCUGGACUGCAACUGACGCUGAGGAACGAAAGCUAGGGGAGCAAACAGG